rnacentral:misc_RNA from 1 species
GGAUCGGGGACUGAAUUUAAAUAUUUGUUGUUUACUGAGAAUAUCUGAUAUUGUGAGCGUUUGUUCAUGGUGAUUGCCAAUUCAACUCCCCAAAAACCAAUUUUUACUAAGCUUAGCUCUACGCAUGCGUUUCAGACGGCAAAAAGCUGGUUUUGACCAGAAACUGCUUUGGAGUAACCAAACAAAUCGAUGAGCUUUUGUUUGGAGUUAGAUUUUUCAAGAUGAGCUUUUU